ACAGCAGUAGCCGCGGUAAUACGUAGGUCCCGAGCGUUGUCCGGAUUUAUUGGGCGUAAAGGGAGCGCAGGCGGUUUAGUAAGUCUGAAGUUAAAGGCAUUGGCUCAACCAAUGUAUGCUUUGGAAACUGUUAGACUUGAGUGCAGAAGGGGAGAGUGGAAUUCCAUGUGUAGCGGUGAAAUGCGUAGAUAUAUGGAGGAACACCGGUGGCGAAAGCGGCUCUCUGGUCUGUCACUGACGCUGAGGCUCGAAAGCGUGGGUAGCGAACAGGAUUAGAUACCCGCGUAGUCCCUGUCUCUUAUACA
rnacentral:rRNA from 1 species